CAUGGUGGAUUACUAUGAUGUUCUAGGCAUGCAGAGAUGCGCCUCACCCAAGGAUAGUAAAAAGGCGUAUCGGAAACUGGCACUGAAGUGACACCUAGAUAAAAAUCCUGAGAACAAAGAAGAAGCAGAGAGAAAAUUCAAACAAGUAGUGGAGGCGUAUGAGGUGCUGUCAGAUGCUAAGAAACAGGACAACUAUGACAAAUAAGGCAAAGAAGGAUGAAUUGGUGGAGGAAGAGGUGGAAAUCAUUUUGAGAGUCCGUUUGAGUUUGGCUUCACAUUUUGUGACCCAGAUGAUGUCUUCAGGGAAUUUUUUGGUGGAAGGCACCCAUUCUCAUUUGACUUCUUUGAAAACCUUUUUGAGGACAUUUUUGGGAAUCAAAGGGGUUCCCGAGGAAGCAGAAGCUGAGGGACGGGGUCGUUCUUCUCCACGUUCAGUGGAUUUCCAUCUUUUGGAAGUGGAUUUUCUUCUUUUGAUGCAGUAUUUACUUCAUUUAGGUCCCUGGCUCAUGGGGGCCUCACUUCAUUCUCUUCCACAUCAUUUGGUGGUAGUGGGAUGGGCAACUUCGAAUCAAUAUCAACUUCUGCUAAAAUGGUUAAUGGCAGAAAAAUGACUACAAAGAGAACUGUUGAGAAUGGUCAAGAAAGAGUAGAAGUUGAAGAAGACAGCCGGUUAAAGUCCUUAACAAUCCAUGGUAAGGAGCAGCUGCUGUGUUUGGAUAA
rnacentral:lncRNA from 1 species